GCGCCGUGCCCAGCCCCUCUGCCCUCCUGUUACCCCGGGACCUCGGGCCGCCAGCCCCUUCCACGUGCAGGCUCCUGCUGCUCUCGCGGGGGCUUUUCGUGUGUCCCCCGAGAUGUCGAGGAAGCCAGAGUCCAGCUCUCCCACGGGUGGCUGUGAUCCUUCUUCCUGGGGAGUCCUGCUGUCCCUGACUAGGGGCACCUGCCCACCUGUCAGCUGCUCCUCCCUCGGCUGGUCCUCCUGGGCUCUGAUGGCCCCAACAUUUCUAGCUCUUCUCACCCAUAGUGCCCCAAGCUUCAUGCAGCUGCGGCAGCAGCAUGAACAGACUGAGAUAGCGGCUUACAUGUAACCGGAAGCUGCAGAAAAACAUCUUCAGACAGCUGAGACGGCUCCCAGGACUCGUGCCUGGCACAGACACCAUCUGCCUGGCAGGGCAAAGAAAGGCGUCUGUGAGUGUGGGAGGAUUCCGAGUCUAACACCCUGAGCCCAGCCAGGAAGGGGCCAGGAAGGCCUCCUCGUGAACAACGAAUGAAACAGAUCCCAGAUCUCAGACAGGGCGGGGAAGGGGAGGGGUACCAUGUCAAGCAGCACUCUGUGUAAGUCGGCACCUGCGCACACUUGCAUGCAGACGUGUGUAUUGUGAGUGUAUGGACAUGUUAGAAAUGGAUGUGUGCAUGUGUCUGCAUGUGUUUGUGCAUUUAUGCACAGACACUACACGGGCAUGCACAUCAUGUACGUAUAUGUUUGCAUAUGUGCACGUGUGUGUACGUGCAUGUGUUCGUGUGUGCAUGCACACAGCAUGCGUGUGUGUGUAUACUUGCAUGCAUGCUAACAUAUGGUGGAGAAUAAAUAAUGAUCACCUCUCUGGAACUGGGGAAAGUAAGUGUUAAACAGAUUUUCGACAGGAAAUGCUGCUGCAAGGAAUUCGUCCGUAGGCUAGCACUACAACCUGGAGGCAGGGAGCAGUGAGGAGUGGAAGUCUUCCCAUCAGAAGUGAGGAAGGCUGGAUACGGUGGCUCACACCAGUAAUCCCAGCACUUUGGGAGGCAAAGGCAGGAGGAUCACUUGAGCCCAGGAGUUUGAGACCAGCCUAGGCAACUUAGCAAGACCUUGUCUUAAAAAAAAAAAAAAAAAUUUUACAAGGAACUACACAGAUGGCAAAAUUAAAAAAAAAAAAAGUGGGAAGAGGGGAGAAAGGGAGAUCAAUGUCUUCUACAGAUUUCAUCUUAUCGGGUGGAGGGUGUGAGGAGUAGAGCCACGUGGUGGGAAACUGUUGGUGUCUUGUUUGCGAAUGACUUUGGAACAAAGACCACCUGAUAAGCACAGUUAAGGAAGGAAAACACACAGGGACUUCCCAGGGAGCCAGGAGGACACUGGGGGAGCAGGAACACCUGCCUUUCCCAUGGGGCCCUGGUGUGCCCAGCCCCCCACUUCAUGUCUGACCCACGUGCUCUCCGGCUGACCUCCUGGGACUCGCACCUGGCCCCCACUUGGUAUCUGAGCCACGUGCUUCCCGGCCCUCACUUGGUAUCUGAGCCAUGUACUUCCCGGCUGACCUCCCGCAACGUGAAGACUACUCUCGCUCCCUUCAAGGCCACUGUCCCCACCGCAGCCAGAGAGGUGUUUUAUAGUUCAAAUCCUGCCCAGGCACCAUCUUGUCUAAAGGCAGCCCUGAGCCGGAAUCUGUGUGCUUUGCUGAUGGGACUGUAAAAUGGCGCAGUCACUUUUGAAACAGUCUGACAGUUCCUCAAAAGCUUAAACAUAGACUUACCACAUACCCAGCAAUUCCACGCCCAGGCUCUGCCCCAGGAGAAUUGAAAACAUCUAUCCACACGGAAACUUGUACACAAAUGUUCACAGUUGCACUAUUUAUCAUCAUCAGAAUGCCUAUAAUUGAUGAACAGGUGAACAAAUUGUGCUAUAUCCAUAUAAUUAAAUAUUAUUCAGUCAUAAAAAAGAAUGAGGCCGGGUGUGGUAGCUCACGCCUGUCAUUGCAGCACUUUGGGAGGCCGAGGAGGGCGGAUCACAAGGUCAGGAGAUCGAGACCAUCCUGGUUAACACGGUGAAACCCC
rnacentral:lncRNA from 1 species